UGAGGAAUAUUGGUCAAUGGGCGGGAGCCUGAACCAGCCAAGUCGCGUGAGGGAAGACGGUCCUAUGGAUUGUAAACCUCUUUUGUCGGGGAGCAAAGAGGCCACGUGUGGUCAAAAGCGAGAGUACCCGAAGAAAAGCAUCGGCUAACUCCGUCGCC
rnacentral:rRNA from 1 species